rnacentral:rRNA from 1 species
AUUGAACGCUGGCGGCAUGCCUUACACAUGCAAGUCGAACGGCAGCACGGGGGCAACCCUGGUGGCGAGUGGCGAACGGGUGAGUAAUGCAUCGGAAUGUACCCAGUAGUGGGGGAUAACUAGUCGAAAGACUGGCUAAUACCGCAUACGCACUAUGGUGGAAAGCGGGGGAUCGCAAGACCUCGCGCUAUUGGAGCAGCCGAUAUCCGAUUAGGUAGUUGGUGGGGUAAAGGCCUACCAAGCCUGCGAUCGGUAACUGGUCUGAGAGGACGACCAAGUCACACUGGGACUGAGACACGGCCCAGACUCCUACGGGAGGCAGCAGUGGGGAAUUUUGGACAAUGGGCGCAAGCCUGAUCCAGCAAUGCCGCGUGUGUGAAGAAGGCCUCGG